rnacentral:rRNA from 1 species
AGCAGCCGCGGUAAUUCCAGCUCCAAUAGCGUAUAUUAAAGUUGUUGCAGUUAAAAAGCUCGUAGUUGAAUUUCGGGAUCAAUUUGUUGGUCGUGCCUUGGUACGUACUUGGCAUUAUUGGUUUCUUCCUUCUGAGAAUCCUUGAUGUCAUUAAUUUGGUGUCUUGGGGAAUCAGGACUGUUACCUUGAAAAAUUAGAGUGUUUAAAGCAGGCAUCCGCUUGAAUACAUUAGCAUGGAAUAAUGAAAUAGGACGUUCGAUUCUAUUUUGUUGGUUUCUAGGAUCGAUGUAAUGAUUAAUAGGGAUAGUUGGGGGCAUUAGUAUUCAAUUGUCAGAGGUGAAAUUCUUGGAUUUAUGAAGACUAACUACUGCGAAAGCAUUUGCCAAGG